CAAUGAGUUACAGUUUUAGGUCCUUGUUAUAUUCGCCAAGGAGCAUCGGUAAAUAAUAUCGAAACAGUUCCUGUAGUGUAGCACGGAAGAAAACGGGACACGCAUAGACGCCCGUAAAGCCCUUUUGUACGAGAGAACGAGUCCAGAGGAAGUAGACCAGCCUAAAGAUUUGAGGGCUUAUGCCAAUUCCAUUUCAACAACGAUAAAAGUAAUCAGCUGGUCAUUUUUUUUUUUUUAUCAAGAAGUCACGGGAACAAGCUACACGGUGGUAGGUUUGCGUAUUAUACAUAGUAAACCAAUGAGGUGGUGGCCUGUCUCAAUCCCAUCGGAAAUAUUCCUCUUUAUAACAAGACUGCAGUGAUGGUCGGCGUGCACCAAGCAGUGUUGUAUAUCUGUUUUUAUUUGGAAAAGCUAAUGGAAAUUUUGGUUCAUCUCCAGUUUGUCAGUUGCAAAUUAUGCCGAGGAUAUCGUUGUCCGUGUGAGAUACGAUUCGAACUACACGUCUCAGUCGAUUAAAAUUGGCCGGAAUGAACGGGAAGAUUCCCGAUUUGAUAAUCUAAUAAAUGUAAUCCCAAGUCAGUGUAUAUACUGUGCAUUCCGGUAAAUAAUUGAUUUUUGCGACUGUCGUCGAAAUAAAAGGAAGUGGAUAACACAAAUGGGAAAAUACGGACUCGUUAAUAAUGUUUUGCUUGUAUUCGUGAUCAAAGAUACGAAUAAUAUUUCAACAGUGUCUUUUGAAA